UGGCUAAACCACAGUCUCUUUGUGACCUGCUGUUCCCUCUCUCUCCUGCAGGCUGCGCCUAUCCUGGCGGAGGUGAGUGCCUGUGUAGCGGCCGAACGGAGGGUGAAGGUGCUGACCUCGUGUGUGUCGGUGCUGACCUCCAUCACAGACCACAGGGACCUGAUGCCGCUACUCUGUUGUCACGACGCCUGUGUGGUGCUGAAGUUACUGCAGUUCGUCCGCAGCAGGUCUGACCCAGAGGCCACUCACAGCGACUGGCUCCAGCUGGACCUGAAGGUUAUCCGGUUCCUGAGCCGCCUCGUCACUCAGAGCUCCGUCAGGUCGGCCAGCGCCUCCUGCCCCUGUCACAGUGAGCUUGUGCACUGCGUGGUGCUGACCCUCCACCGCCUCUGGCUGCACCUGCGCUCCCAGGCCCCCCUCUCGCCUGCAGAAGCCCCGCCCCCUCGCAGGUGUGGCGGAGGGGGCGUGUCCUGGCAUCGCUUCGGGAGACGGUGCUGCUGUUCCAUUGGCUGCUGCAGAACCACAGCGGCUUCACAGAGAGCUGUCGAGGAGUGUUACACCUGUACGACCAGGUGA
rnacentral:lncRNA from 1 species